UUUCACCUAUAGCCUUUGCUGUAGCUAGUCCUAGACCAGAGGAGGCUCCUGUAAUUAUCACAUUGCCUUUCCUGAGGGUUUUCUUCUGUUCUGAGGUAGACUGGUUGACUGCUGGUGUGGUAGCAGCUGUUUGUGCUCUAAUAGGAGGUACAACUGCUAUUUUCUUUGUCAAUUCCUAUUACAUGAUAUGCAAUGAUAUUAGUUUAUCUCAUUCUUUAUAAUGCUUUUAAGCAGUACAUAUCAAGUGAGAAAUGUAAGAUAACCAAAACCGUAAAUAGACAUCAAUUAUAUGUUCUAGAUAGACCCAAAAACCAUUUGGAACUCUUAAAUACUUGGCAGACUAAGAAGAAUGAUUGCCUCUUAAACCAUUUGAAAUAUAUUGUGAUGGCCUCAAGAGGCAAUCUUUCUUCUUAUUCUGCCAAGUAUUUUGAUAUCCUAAAAUGGCUUUCCAUGAGAAGGGAAGCUUUGGAGCAAUGGUAAAGUUGUCUCUGUGUAACCUAUAGGUCACGGGUUCGAUCUGUGAAAGCAACCACUAAUGCUUGCAUUAGGGUAGACUAUCUACGUCACAUCUCUGGGGUGAGACCCUUCCUAUGAUCCUGCAUGAACGCGGAGUGCCUUGUGCACAACGGCGGAUGCAGCUUGAAAGUAUCGAGUUCGUCUGAACCCAGUACUUUCGACAUGACGUAUAAAUUUAAGUGUAAAAAUUCACUAAAAUUGCAAAAUAUAAUAGAUAUGAAACCAUAACUUUAAAAAUAUGAUUAUUUUGAACCCAUAGAGUUUAAAUUCUCGAAUUGUGCUUCUUGGGCUAUAAUAUACAUGUUCAUCUUAGUAGAGAAUUAUGCAAGAACUAGCACACUAAAUAUAAAAAAACUAAACUUGCAGACUCUGUAUAAUGAAUGGUACCUUGUUCCAUGCAGCAGGAGGACUGAAUUUUGAUUUUAGAUUGUAAGACAAUGCAACACCAAAGAGGCUACUGUCCUUGAGAGUGAU
rnacentral:lncRNA from 1 species